GACGAACGCUGGCGGCGUGCUUAACACAUGCAAGUCGAACGGAAAGGCCCUGCUUUUGUGGGGUGCUCGAGUGGCGAACGGGUGAGUAACACGUGAGUAACCUGCCCUUGACUUUGGGAUAACUUCAGGAAACUGGGGCUAAUACCGGAUAGGAGCUCCUGCUGCAUGGUGGGGGUUGGAAAGUUUCGGCGGUUGGGGAUGGACUCGCGGCUGAUCAGCUUGUUGGUGGGGUAGUGGCUUACCAAGGCUUUGACGGGUAGCCGGCCUGAGAGGGUUACCGGCCACAUUGGGACUGAGAUACGGACCAGACUCCUACGGGGGGCAGCAGUGGGGAAUAUUGCACAAUGGGCGGAAGCCUGAUGCAGCGACGCCGCGUGCGGGAUGACGGCCUUCGGGUUGUAAACCGCUUUCGCCUGGGACGAAGCGUGAGUGACGGUAAUGGGUAAAGAAGCACCGGCUAACUACGUG
rnacentral:rRNA from 1 species